rnacentral:rRNA from 1 species
AUUGAACGCUGGCGGCAGGCUUAACACAUGCAAGUCGAACGAGUGGCGGACGGGUUGGUAAUGCUUGGGAAUCUAGCUUGUGGAUGGGGAUAACUACGGGAAACUGUUACUACUACCGCGUUCCAUAGGAUGAGCCCAAUUGGGAUUAGGUAGUUGGUGGGUGAAAGGCUCACCAAGCCGACGAUCUCUAGCUGGUCUGAGAGGAUGACCAGCAACACUGGAACUGAGACACGGCCCAGACUCCUACGGGAGGCAGCAGUGGGGAAUAUUGGGCAAGGGGGGCAAACUGAUGCAGCCAUGCCGCGUGAAUGAAGAAGGCCUUCGGGUUGUAAAGUUCUUUCGGUAGCGAGGCGUUAACUACAGAAGAAGCACCGGCUAACUCCGUGCCAGCAGCCGCGGUAAUUC